rnacentral:rRNA from 1 species
AUUGAACGCUAGCGGGAUGCCUUACACAUGCAAGUCGAACGGCAGCACGGACUUCGGUCUGGUGGCGAGUGGCGAACGGGUGAGUAAAGUAUCGGAACGUGCCUAGUAGCGGGGGAUAACUACGCGAAAGCGUAGCUAAUACCGCAUACGCCCUACGGGGAAAGCAGGGGAUCGCAAGACCUUGCACUAUUAGAGCGGCC